rnacentral:lncRNA from 1 species
GCUCUCUGACGGUAAAAUAAAAAAGCUAAACAGCGUUCCAGCUACAAGUCGACAUUGUGUAACACUGUGUCACACAGUGACAACACAAUGUUUCAUAGCUGGAAAGCAGCCUAAGUGUAGUAAGCCUUAAGAAUCUGACCAAUUAUAAUUGAAUAUCCGGCCUUAAAAUGGAAUUCAUCGUGAUGCCGGAAGGAGACGAGGGAUGAAAUUCAUAGACUGAUAUCUUAUUCAAGAUCCAUCUUUUUCGUCCAUAUAGUUUGGAAACAACUUUUGGGUAAUUAGCAGUCUCGUAUUUAAAAUCUACCAAUUUCAAAUACUAGACUGCUAAUUUUUAUUACAUGUAAAUGCGAGCAACGAAAGUUAAAACUUGGCUAUAACAUUUCGAGCGACAUCGCAUCGAGGACCGGUUCCAAGUUACAACUUCUUGGUAAACUUACCUACCAGGUGAAUUUACCAAGAAGUUGGAACAAUCGAUCCCGAGUCUCGCGAUGAAUGCAGAUGAAUGUGGGGUGCGGUCUGGCCCUAUUCUUGAAAUAGUUGCGCAUACGUAAAUAGCAAGUUGCGAAUGAUCGCAAUAGAAAAUCCCUAGAACGGUAUUCUUGACUGUCGCAAGCAGUAACGUAUACGCAAUUUUUCGUGUACGAUGCAACGAAUGGUUCAGACCAUUCGUUUCAUGAGAAACGUAUACGUUUCGAUGGUGAAAAGCAAUAGUAAAAGCCUCCACGUAUUAUUAGUCAGCCAACAGUCUCUCGCUGCAUCCACAAAAUUAUUGAUGUUAUAACAAGAGAAGAAAUAAUGAAACAGGAUUAAGUUUCCCAGUACGUUAGCAGAAUUGAACACGUUAUCCUGGAAGCACUCGCAAUACAUUUAUAUGGAAUAACUCAUAUGCAAAAAACGUGCUAUGGUUUAUCUCUACAGGCGCUAUCCACACAAAAAUUUCCAUUUAGUAGGUGAUUCAAGGUAUUCUCUCAGACCUUGGAUGAUGACUCCUAUAAUAGAUGCUAUUAAAGGUAGUCCAGAAGCUGAAUAUAAUACCAAACAAAUGAGAUGUCGUGCAUUAAUAGAAUAAUGCAAUGGAGUUCUGAAAAUGCGGUUUAGAUGUCUAUUGAAGUAUAGAGUACUCCAUUACUCUCCACCAAUAGCAUCUAAAAUUAUAUAUACAUGUGCUGUUUUACAUAAUAUGUACAUUGCCCAAAAUGUGUCACUGAAUCUAAAUGACGAUAAUAAAGAUGUAGAUUUGGGAUGUAUAAUAACAAAAAUCGUAUUGAAAAUGAAAGAAACGUCCGUAGAAUUGAUCCAAAUAUGGCAGCUGGUAGAAAUAAACAGCAAUUAAUGAUUGCAAAUUACUUCUCGUAAAUUAUAAGUAUCGUUUAUCAUUUAGUAUAAUUUUUAUCAAUAGUGGAUUUAUAUUAAUUA